rnacentral:lncRNA from 1 species
UCUCUCUCUCUCUAUAUAUAUAUAUAUAUAUAUAUAUAUAUAUAUAUAUAUAUUCGGGGCUGGCGCUGGGGCUCAGUGGUAGAGCGCCUGCCUGACAUGUGUGAGGCACUGGGUUCGAUCCUCAGCACUACAUAAAAAUAAAGAAAGAAAAUAAAGGCAUUGUGUCCAUCUACAACUAAAAAAAAUGUUUUAAAUAAACUGAGAAAUAUUUUUAAAAAUAUGUAGUCAAUUAUAGACUAUAUAGUCAAUUAUUGUAUAUAUUGUAUUGUUGUACAUAUUGUAUAUUAGUGUGUGUGUAUAUGUAUAUAUAUAGUCAAUUAUUGUAAACUGUAGUCACCCUAUUGUGCUAUAGAACACUAGAGUUUAUUCAUCCUAACUGGGUUUUGGUAACCAUUAUCUGAAGUGUAUCUCCCUAGCUUUCUCAGCCCCUAGCAACCACUGUUAAUUUAUGAGAUCAUCUCUUGUGUGUGCAUGAGAGCACAUAGUUCUGGGGAUCGAACCCAGGGACCCUCUACUACUGAGCUACAUGCCCAGCUCUUUUAACUUUUAUUUAUUUUGGGUUGUGAUCUCACUAGGUUGUCCAGGUUGUCACUGAACUUAGAAUCCUCCUGUCUCAGCCUCCCUAGUAGCUGGUAUUGAGAUCAAAUAUAUUAGCUUCCAAAAAAUUAUACAUGUUUAAGAAGAUGGAAAUGCCAAUUAUUCUGAUGGGAUCAUUCCACAUUGUGUACAUGUAUCAAAUUAUCAUGCUGUAUCCCACAAAUAUGUAUAUUAUGUCUCAAUAAAAAAUAAUACUUAAAAAAGUGAUCAACAA